GUUUAUGAUGAAAAAAUGUCCUUAGUGACACGCUAUAAACCCAGCUCUUCGAUUGUAUUUCUUAUGAAAUAUUUACAGGAGAAUAAAUUUUUGUCAAAUGCUCUGAUA
rnacentral:snoRNA from 1 species